rnacentral:rRNA from 1 species
AGUGAACGCUGGCGGUAGGCCUAACACAUGCAAGUCGAACGGCAGCACAGUAAGAGCUUGCUCUUACGGGUGGCGAGUGGCGGACGGGUGAGGAAUACAUCGGAAUCUACUUUUUCGUGGGGGAUAACGUAGGGAAACUUACUCUAAUACCGCAUACUACCUACGGGUGAAAGCAGUGGAUCUUCGGACCUUGCGCGAUUGAAUGAGCCGAUGUCGGAUUAGCUAGUUGGCGGGGUAAAGGCCCACCAAGGCGACGAUCCGUAGCUGGUCUGAGAGGAUGAUCAGCCGCACUGGAACUGAGACACGGACCAGACUCCUACGGGAGGCAGCAGUGGGGAAUAUUGGACAAUGGGCGCAAGCCUGAUCCAGUCAUACCGCGUGGGUGAAGAAGGCCUUCGGGUUGUAAAGCCCUUUUGUUGGGAAAGAAAAGCAGCAGGUUAAUACCCCGCUGUUCUGACGGUACCCAAAGAAUAAGCACCGGCUAACUUCGUG